UGUAACUAUUAUACUUGCCUGAUCUCAUCCAAUCAAGAAGCUAAGCAAGGCCGAGCCUGGUUAGUACUUAGAUGGGAGAGUGCUGAGAAUGCCAGACGUCACAG
rnacentral:rRNA from 1 species